rnacentral:SRP_RNA from 1 species
ACCGGGCUUGGUAACGCAUGUCUGUAACUAAAGUGAGGGUAUCAAAGAUGGUUGGACAGUGGCUCGGUCCAGUCAGGUUGGCUCCAUUGACGCACAAGCUGGCUUGCCCGUUCCAAGUUGUGAGUUGGACCACGUGUCUCGGGCGAAGGCUUGGGUCACGUGGUUCCUAAAUAAAGCAGCAGGGGGCACUGCGUAAGGCUGGCUUCACAGAGCUGCGAAAACCCCUCGCUCAUGACAGUGGAAGGAUAACGAGCCGGGGCUCUAUGGCUCCACAAUAAUCUGCUCACUACUAGAAAAUUGUCUAGUUU